rnacentral:rRNA from 1 species
UACGGAGGGUGCAAGCGUUAUCCGGAUUUAUUGGGUUUAAAGGGUGCGUAGGCGGACUUAUAAGUCAGUGGUGAAAUCUCGUUGCUUAACAACGAACGUGCCAUUGAUACUGUAGGUCUUGAGUACAGAUGCCGUUGGCGGAAUGUGUCAUGUAGCGGUGAAAUGCAUAGAUAUGACACAGAACACCGAUUGCGAAGGCAGCUGACGAAACUGUAACUGACGCUGAGGCACGAAAGCGUGGGGAUCAAACAGG